rnacentral:misc_RNA from 1 species
AACGCACAUUGCGCCCUUUGGUAUUCCGAAGGGCAUGCCUGUUCGAGCGUCAUUAUCACCCCUCAAGCCGUCCUGGCUUGGUGUUGGACGGCCCGGUCAAAAGCAGUAACCCUGUGAGACCCCUCCCAAAGAUAAUGACGGUGGCCUCGUGGGACCCCCGGUACACUGAGCUUCUUAACCGAGCACGUACUGGAUCUAGGGUGCCUGGGCCCCGGUCGUCGCUCUCCCGCUUGCGGGACAGCUUCUCAAGGUUGACCUCGGAUCAGGUAGGAAUACCCGCUGAACUUAA